rnacentral:ncRNA from 1 species
CAAAGGCCUGGUCCUGACUUUACCAUCAGUUUUGACUAAAUUUACACAUGCAAGUAUCAGCGCCCCAGUGAGAAUGCCCCUGUUCCCCUUAUGAGGACAAGGAGCCGGUAUCAGGCACACUUCUUAGACGUAGCCCAAGACGCCUUGCUUAGCCACACCCCCAAGGGAACCCAGCAGUGAUAAACAUUAAGCUAUAAGCGAAAGCUAGACUUAGUUAGAGUCGAGAGAGCCGGUAAAACUCGUGCCAGCCACCGCGGUUAUACGAGAGGCUCAAAUUGAUGAUUAACGGCGUAAAGAGUGAUUAAAGGAGUAAGACAACUAAAGCCGAACCCCUCUUAGGCCGUCAUACGCUUCUAGAGAUGUGAAGCCCCAAAACGAAAGUAGCUUUAACCCAACCCCUUGAACUCACGACAGCUAAGAAACAAACUGGGAUUAGAUACCCCACUAUGCUUAGCCUCAAACUUUGGUAAUAAUAUACACAUAUUACCCGCCAGGGGACUACAAGCACUAGCUUAAAACCCAAAGGACUUGGCGGUGCCUCAAACCCAUCUAGAGGAGCCUGUUCUAUAACUGAUAAUCCUCGUUAAACCUCACCACUUCUUGUUAAUUCCGCCUAUAUACCGCCGUCGCCAGCUCACCUUGUGAAAGACUAAUAGUGAGCUUAAUGGGAAUAUCCCAGAACGUCAGGUCGAGGUGUAGCGAAUGAAGUGGGAAGAAAUGGGCUACAUUUUCUGUCCCCAGAAUACUACGAAAUAUGUUAUGAAAUAUGACAUAAAGAAGGUGGAUUUAGCAGUAAAGAGAAAACAGAGUGUUCUCUUGAAAUUGGCUCUGAGGCGCGUACACACCGCCCGUCACUCUCUUCACCAGUCAAGCAACAGAAAUAUCUAAUAAACCUGCAGACUACCUAGAGGAGUCAAGUCGUAACAUGGUAAGUGUACCGGAAGGUGCACUUGGAACAACU